GAUGAACGCUGGCGGCGUGCCUAAUACAUGCGAGUCGAGCGAACAGACGAGGAGCUUGCUCCUCUGACGUUAGCGGCGGACGGGUGAGUAACACGUGGAUAACCUACCUAUAAGACUGGGAUAACUUCGGGAAACCGGAGCUAAUACCGGAUAAUAUAUUGAACCGCAUGGUUCAAUAGUGAAAGACGGUUUUGCUGUCACUUAUAGACGGAUCCGCGCCGCAUUAGCUAGUUGGUAAGGUAACGGCUUACCAAGGCAACGAUGCGUAGCCGACCUGAGAGGGUGAUCGGCCACACUGGAACUGAGACACGGUCCAGACUCCUACGGGAGGCAGCAGUAGGGAAUCUUCCGCAAUGGGCGAAAGCCUGACGGAGCAACGCCGCGUGAGUGAUGAAGGUCUUCGGAUCGUAAAACUCUGUUAUUAGGGAAGAACAAAUGUGUAAGUAACUAUGCACGUCUUGACGGUACCUAAUCAGAAAGCCACGGCUAACUACGUG
rnacentral:rRNA from 1 species